UUCCGCGGGUAAGGGUGUAGGGCGAGGUGUAGGCAAAUCCGCACCUCAUGUGCCUGAGACCUGACACGGACCCGUAAGGGGAAGUCGGUGAUCCUAUGCUGCCAAGAAAAUCUUCUAGCGAGGUUCUAGCCGCCCGUACCCCAAACCGACUCAGGUGGUUAGGUAGAGAAUACCAAGGCGAUCGAGUGAAUCGUGGUUAAGGAAUUCGGCAAAAUACCCCCGUAACUUCGGGAGAAGGGGGGCCCAGAGGGUGACGGGACUUGCUCCCCAAGCCUGAACGGCCGCAGAGACCAGGGAGAAGCGACUGUUUACUAAAAACACAGGUCCGUGCCAAGUCGCAAGACGAUGUAUACGGACUGACGCCUGCCCGGUGCUGGAACGUUAAGGGGACCGGUUAGCCUCACGGCGAAGCUGAGAACUUAAGCGCCAGUAAACGGCGGUGGUAACUAUAACCAUCCUAAGGUAGCGAAAUUCCUUGUCGGGUAAGUUCCGACCUGCACGAAUGGCGUAACGACUUCUCCACUGUCUCAACCACGAACUCGGCGAAAUUGCACUACGAGUAAAGAUGCUCGUUACGCGCAGAAGGACGGAAAGACCCCGGGACCUUUACUACAGCUUGGUAUUGGUGUUCGGUACGGCUUGUGUAGGAUAGGUGGGAGACUGUGAAGCUGACACGCCAGUGUCGGUGGAGUCAACGUUGAAAUACCACUCUGGUCGUUCUGGAUAUCUAACCUAGGUCCGUAAUCCGGAUCAGGGACAGUGCCUGGUGGGUAGUUUAACUGGGGCGGUUGCCUCCUAAAAGGUAACGGAGGCGCCCAAAGGUUCCCUCAGCCUGGUUGGCAAUCAGGUUUCGAGUGUAAGAGCACAAGGGAGCUUGACUGUGAGACUGACAAGUCGAACAGGGACGAAAGUCGGGACUAGUGAUCCGGCGGUGGCUUGUGGAAGCGCCGUCGCUCAACGGAUAAAAGGUACCCCGGGGAUAACAGGCUGAUCUUGCCCAAGAGUCCAUAUCGACGGCAUGGUUUGGCACCUCGAUGUCGGCUCGUCGCAUCCUGGGGCUGGAGUAGGUCCCAAGGGUUGGGCUGUUCGCCCAUUAAAGCGGUACGCGAGCUGGGUUUAGAACGUCGUGAGACAGUUCGGUCCCUAUCCUCUGCGCGCGCAGGAAACUUGAGAAGGGCUGUCCCUAGUACGAGAGGACCGGGAUGGACGAACCUCUGGUGUGUCAGUUGUUCUGCCAAGAGCACCGCUGAUUAGCUACGUUCGGGAGUGAUAACCGCUGAAAGCAUCUAAGCGGGAAGCAUGCUUCAAGAUGAGGUUUCCAUGGGGUUUACCCCGAGAGGCUCCCAGCUAGACUACUGGGUUGAUAGGCCGGAUGUGGAAGUGCGGUAA
rnacentral:rRNA from 1 species